GGGGUGACUAGUGACAGAGUGAGGGAAGGGAUGACUAGUGGCAGAGUGAGGGAAGGAAGGGGUGACUAGUGACAGAGUGAGGGAGGUGGUGACUGUUACUAGUCACCACCUCCCUCACUCUGUCACUAGUCACCACCUCCCUCUGUCACUACUCCCUCCCUCCUUCUGUCACUACUCCCUCCCUUCUUCUGUCACUAGUCACCCCCUCCCUCACUCUGUCACCAGUCAUCCCC